GAUGAACGCUAGCGGCAGGCCUAAUACAUGCAAGCUGAACGGUAAAUGUUGUAGCAAUACGAUAUGAGAGUAGCGUAAGGGUGCGUAACACGUAUGCAAUCUGCCCGCAACGGGAGGAUAGCUCCCCGAAAGGGGAAUUAAUACUCCAUAAGAUCACGAAAGGGCAUCUGAUUGUGAUUAAACUCCAAGGGGUUGCGGAUGAGCAUGCGUCUGAUUAGCUAGUUGGUGAGGUAACGGCUCACCAAGGCGAUGAUCAGUAGGGGAACUGAGAGGUUGAUCCCCCACACUGGCACUGAGAUACGGGCCAGACUCCUACGGGAGGCAGCAGUAGGGAAUAUUGGUCAAUGGGUGAGAGCCUGAACCAGCCAUGCCGCGUGCAGGAAGACGGCCUUCUGGGUUGUGAACUGCUUUUGUCAGGGGAUAAAAUACCCGUGCGCGGGGAAUUGAAGGUACCUGAUGAAUAAGCCACGGCUAACUACGUGCCAGCAGCCGCGGUAACAC
rnacentral:rRNA from 1 species